rnacentral:rRNA from 1 species
GGUUAAGCGACUAAGCGUACACGGUGGAUGCCCUGGCAGUCAGAGGCGAUGAAGGACGUGCUAAUCUGCGAAAAGCGUCGGUAAGGUGAUAUGAACCGUUAUAGCCGGCGAUGUCCGAAUGGGGAAACCCAGUGCAAUUCGUUGCACUAUCGUUAACUGAAUACAUAGGUUAACGAGGCGAACCGGGGGAACUGAAACAUCUAAGUACCCCGAGGAAAAGAAAUCAACCGAGAUUCCCCCAGUAGCGGCGAGCGAACGGGGAGCAGCCCAGAGUCUGAAUCAGCUUGUGUGUUAGUGGAACGGUCUGGAAAGUCCGACGGUACAGGGUGAUAGUCCCGUACACCAAAAUGCACAGGCUGUGAACUCGAAGAGUAGGGCGGGACACGUGGUAUCCUGUCUGAAUAUGGGGGGACCAUCCUCCAAGGCUAAAUACUCCUGACUGACCGAUAGUGAACCAGUACCGUGAGGGAAAGGCGAAAAGAACCCCGGCGAGGGGAGUGAAAAAGAACCUGAAACCGUGUACGUACAAGCAGUGGGAGCACCGUCGGGUGUGACUGCGUACCUUUUGUAUAAUGGGUCAG